rnacentral:rRNA from 1 species
UGGGGAAUAUUGGACAAUGGGGGCAACCCUGAUCCAGCAAUGCCGCGUGUGUGAAGAAGGUUUUCGGAUUGUAAAGCACUUUCGACGGGGACGAUGAUGACGGUACCCGUAGAAGAAGCCCCGGCUAACUUCGUGCCAGCAGCCGCGGUAAUACGAAGGGGGCUAGCGUUGCUCGGAAUGACUGGGCGUAAAGGGCGUGUAGGCGGUUUGUACAGUCAGAUGUGAAAUCCCCGGGCUUAACCUGGGAGCUGCAUUUGAUACGUGCAGACUAGAGUGUGAGAGAGGGUUGUGGAAUUCCCAGUGUAGAGGUGAAAUUCGUAGAUAUUGGGAAGAACACCGGUGGCGAAGGCGGCAACCUGGCUCAUAACUGACGCUGAGGCGCGAAAGCGUGGGGAGCAAACAGGAUUAGA